rnacentral:misc_RNA from 1 species
CCCUAUGUCGCUCCGAUUCGUCCCUCCCCCCCACCCCCCMCCCCGAAACCACCCCCGCCACGCGCCGGCUAUGUCCCCCCGACCCUUCGAUGCCUCUGCUGGUCGGGAUCCCCUCCCCCACCCCCGUGCCCAUCUCAUGUCGUCUUUCCCAAAAAAACUUGGCAAAGGCAUGCAAACUUGGAAGCUUGAACAAWGCCACCCGGCCCGUGCCAUGACGCGUGCCACGGGGCCUUGCAUGGUGCCCACGAGCCGAGCCAAGGUGACACGGGGCCUUGCAUGGUGCCUGCCCGCGAGCCAAGCCAAGGUGCCACGGGUCCUUGCAUGGUGCCCGCGAGCCAAGCCAAGGUGGCACGGGGCCUUGCAUGGUGCCCUCCUACGAGCCAAACGAAGGUGCCAUGGGGCCUUGCUUGGUGCCCGCGAGCCAAGUCAAGGUGGCACGAGGCCUUGCAUGGUGUCAAGGUGCCACGGGGCCUUGCAUGGUGCCCGCCCGCGAGCCAAKCCAAGGUGCCACGGGGCCUURCUUGGUGCCCGCGAGCCAAGCCAAGGUGCCACGGGGCCUUGCUUGGUGCCCGCGAGCCAAGCCAAGGUGGCACGGGGCCUUGCWUGGUGCCCGCCCGCAAGCCAAGGUGCCACGGGGCCUUGCAUGGUGCCCGCCCGCGAGCCAAGCCAAGGUGCCACGGGGCCUUGCUUGGUGCCCGCGAGCCAAGCCAAGGUGGCACGGGGCCUUGCAUGGUGCCCUCCACGGGGCCUUGCAUAGUGCCCGUGAGCCAAGCCAAUGUGCCACGGGGCCUUGCUUGGUGCCCGCGAGCCAAGCCAAGGUGSCACGGGGCCUUGCAUGGUGCCCGCCCGCGAGCCGAGCCAAGACACGCGACGCGUGCCACGGGGCCUUGCAUGGUGCCCGCGAGCCAAGCCAAGGUGGCACGAGGCCUUGCAUGGUGCCCGCCCRCGAGCCAAGCCAAGGUGCCACGGGGCCUUGCUUGGUGCCCGCGAGCCAAGCCAAGGUGGCACGAGGCCUUGCAUGGUGCCCGCCCGCGAGCCAAGCCAAGGUGCCACGGGGCCUUGCUUGGUGCCCGCGAGCCAAGCCAAGGUGGCACGGGGCCUUGCAUGGUGCCCGCCCGCGAGCCAAGCCAAGGUGCCACGGGGCCUUGCUUGGUGCCCGCGAGCCAAGCCAAGGUGGCACGAGGCCUUGCAUGGUGCCCGCCCGCGAGCCAAGCCAWSKUCCGACCUAGCCAAGCCAAGGUGCCACGGGGCCUUGCUUGGUGCCCGCGAGCCAAGCCAAGGUGGSACGAGGCCUUGCAUGGUGCCCGCCCGCGAGCCAAGCCAAGGUGCCACGGGGCCUUGCAUGGUGCCCCCGAGCCGAGCCAAGACACGCGACGCGUGCCAGGGGGCCUUGCAUGGUGCCCACGAGCCGAGCCAAGACACGUGACGCGUGCCACCGCCCGUGCCAUGACAGCUACAAUGACCCACGAAAUGGUGCUAGAGGCUGUGCUAGGACACGUGACCCAUGCCAUGAUGCGUGCCACGGCCCAAGCCACGACACGUCUCGUGUGCCACCACCCGUGCCACGAGACCUGGAAUGACUCAUUCCAUGGUGGUAGAGGCUGUGCCAAGACACAUGGCCCGUGCCCUAUCUGGCUUUCGACCCUGAUGCCUUGACAAGGUUCCGGAUUAUGGUCUAUUGCUACUCACGGAAUGCUAUUAGUCCAUGGAUUCAUGUUGCAAAGGUUUUUCGCUAUUUUUUUAUCACAUGGUUUUUAAGUAAAAAAAUUUUAAAAUAAAUUUGUUUUGGACAAUCCUUGGAUUCGUGUUUAAGAUUUCUUUUUCCCAUCUCAAAUACAAUUUUUAAAAAUAUUUAAAGUAAUUUUUACUUAUUUUUCCCCUAUUUUUAUAAGCAAAAAAACUAAAAAAAAAUAUUUUUUGGCCAAGAGAGCUUGACUAAUCCUUGAAUUCGUCUUCCAUAAAAUUCUCCCUUGUGAAAUACAUUUUUUAAAAGUAUUUAGACUAAUUUUCCCUAUUUUUUACUAUUUUCUAAGUAAAAAUAUUUAAAAAAAAAAUAAUUUUUGAGAGAUAAGUUGCAUUAAUUCAUGGAUUCCUAUCCCAGAUGUUUUUCCCAUGUGAAAUAUAAUUUUUAAAAAUAUUUUCAGUAUUUUUUACUAUUUUUUACUAUUUUUCCCUAUUUUUCCCUAUUUUUUGGACAAAAAAAUUAAAAUAAAUAUUUUCUGGGCCGAAAUUUUUUUUAUUUUUUUUCCAUGGGUUCAUAUAAAUAUUAUAAAGAGAUUCAGCAAAAAAAACGGAAUUAAAAACUCUUUUUUAAUUAAAAAACGGCAUUAUGUCUCCUCAAGCAUGGGUGAUGUCUCCUCAAGGCAUUCCCAAAAUGGCCCAAAAUGCUCUUUAAGGGGGGGGUGCUGUCCUCAAUGGGCUGGCAGCACCACCCGCCCAGGCACGCUGCAGCGCGUGCCGCCCUUGGCGUGCAGGCUGCCCAUGCCACCCUAGGCAUGCGCCCGCAUAUGCCACCCUCAAGCCCACGACACGCUAAUGCGAAGAGAGCAUGCCCACGACACCGUUGGGAGCCCUCGCACGCAACAGCAGUCGCCCCGUGCCCCCCGUACACGCUGCACCCCCGGUGCGUCCCAUGCCCAUGCGGACACGCCUCCCCCCCAUGCAACGAGCGCCCUCCCCGGGCACUCGGCCCCGUCUCGGCUCGUCGAGGCUCAAGCCCUCGAGCGAGCAUGUUGCCUCGGAAAGACGUGCCAAUGGCCAACGUCGCGGCUCACCCCCGGGGGCUCACCCAUGCCUCCCGCCCGACGUUGCCCAUCGAAAGGCACACGGAUGCCCCUCCCCCCAUGCAACGAGCGCCCUCCCCGGGCACUCGGCCCCGUCUCGGCUCGUCGAGGAGCCCUCAAGCCCUCGAGCGAGCAUGUUGCCUCGGAAAGACGUGCCAAUGGCCAACGUCGCGGCUCACCCCGGGGGCUCACCCAUGCCUCCCGCCCGACGUUGCCCAUCGAAAGGCACACGGAUGCCCCUCCCCCCCAUGCAACGAGCGCCCUCCCCGGGCACUCGGCCCCGUCUCGGCUCGUCGAGGAGCCCUCAAGCCCUCGAGCGAGCAUGUUGCCUCGGAAAGACGUGCCAAUGGCCAACGUCGCGGCUCACCCCGGGGGCUCACCCAUGCCUCCCGCCCGACGUUGCCCAUCGAAAGGCACACGGAUGCCCCUCCCCCCAUGCAACGAGCGCCCUCCCCGGGCACUCGGCCCCGUCUCGGCUCGUCGAGGAGCCUUCGAGCCCUCGAGCGAGCUUGUUGCCUCGAAAAAGAGUAGACGCAUCGUCGCCAUGCCUAUAUCGGUCCUAUGAAGGCUUCACUCGUUGCUCCCGUGUGCUUGUCAGGAGUCACCUCCGGAUGGGUCGCGGUUCGACGCGUGGUGCCGUGUCGUAGUGAACCUGAUGGCGUGUGAGUGGUGUUUGGGUCGCGUGGGUCGGCAGGCUCCUUGCUCGUGCAACGAACUGUCGCCCCACCCCCCUCUUCAUUCCGAGCCCCAAGCGCCGCAACGGGCCUUGGGUGCCGCGAUAUCGUGGUUCCUGUGUUGCCUUCCUAACGGAUGGAAUUGUCCCUCGAACGUUGCCUAUCUCCGCCCGGCUCCCGCUCACGCGGUGCGGGCGGACCUCGAAAGCGGUCGCCGCGUCCCACGGUCGCCCCACGCGUGCACACGCACGAGGGGGGUCGAGCUUGGACCGCGACGGCCGCUCGUGCUCUCGGAUGCGGAACCUUAAAACGAGCGUGGGGUCUUCGGAUCCCGUACUCGCUCGAGCUAAGCGUUCGUCGCUAGACGCGUACGACGGCCGUCACCGUCUUUGCCCUCCCGUCCCGCUCCCCUCGGGGGGCGUCGGCCAGGCGCAUGCGGUGCCGGCGUCGCACAGGAAUGC